CACGAACGCUGGCGGCAGGCUUAACACAUGCAAGUCGAGCGCCCCGCAAGGGGAGCGGCAGACGGGUGAGUAACGCGUGGGAAUCUACCCAUCUCUACGGAAUAACGCAUGGAAACGUGUGCUAAUACCGUAUACGUCCUUCGGGAGAAAGAUUUAUCGGAGAUGGAUGAGCCCGCGUUGGAUUAGCUAGUUGGUGGGGUAAAGGCCUACCAAGGCGACGAUCCAUAGCUGGUCUGAGAGGAUGAUCAGCCACACUGGGACUGAGACACGGCCCAAACCCCUACGGGAGGCAGCAGUGGGGAAUAUUGGACAAUGGGCGCAAGCCUGAUCCAGCCAUGCCGCGUGAGUGAUGAAGGCCCUAGGGUUGUAAAGCUCUUUCACUGGUGAAGAUAAUGACGGUAACCGGAGAAGAAGCCCCGGCUAACUUCGUGCCAGCCGCCGCGGUAACAC
rnacentral:rRNA from 1 species